CACGUAGGGGGCAAGCGUUGUUCGGAAUUACUGGGCGUAAAGGGCUCGUAGGCGGCCAACUAAGUCAGACGUGAAAUCCCUCGGCUUAACCGGGGAACUGCGUCUGAUACUGGAUGGCUUGAAUCCGGGAGAGGGAUGCGGAAUUCCAGGUGUAGCGGUGAAAUGCGUAGAUAUCUGGAGGAACACCGGUGGCGAAGGCGCACAUCUGGCCCGAUACUGACGCUGACAGCGCGAAAGCUAGGGGAGCAAACGGG
rnacentral:rRNA from 1 species